rnacentral:antisense_RNA from 1 species
UUUUAUGGUGGCCGUGCGCAGGGCGCCCUUGUGGCGCGCCGGUUUCCGAGUGCACCGGUCGACUAACCUGCGCAUGGCUGCCACCCAU